AUGGCGGCGGCGGCGGCGGCGGUGACGGUGACGGCCACCCGCCUCCACCCUCCUCUCGUCCUCCACUCCGCCGCACGGCCCCAGCCCACUCUCCGCCUCCGCCUCCUCCUCCCCACCCCACCGCCGCUCCGCCUCCGACACCGCUUCCCGCUCCUCGCCGUCGCCUCCGCCGGCGAAGGCCGCGCGGAGGAGGCCGCCGAGAAGAGCGACAAGGCCCGGCAGCUGCAGCGGAGGGUGCUCGUGGGCAUCGCCAUCGGGGUCGGCGCGGGCGGCGUCGUGGUCGCCGGCGGCUGGGUGUUCACCGCCGCCAUGACCGCCGUCGUCCUCGCCGGUGCCCGCGAGUACUUCGGGCUCGUCCGUGGCACCGCCAGCGGCGGCAGCACCCCGCCACCGCGCUACGUGUCCCGCGUCUGCUCCGCCAUCUGCGCCCUCAUGCCCAUCCUUACGCUGUGCUAUGGCCGCAUGGAUGUUCCCCUGACGUUAUCGGCAUUUAUUAUUGCAAUAUCUUUGGUGUUGCAAAGAGGAAACCCCCGUUUCGCUCAGCUAACUAGUUCAGUUUUUGGUUUAUUUUAUUGUGGCUAUCUUCCUUCUUUCUGGGUUAAGCUCCGUUGCGGACUAGCAGCUCCUGCCUUAAAUACAAGUAUAGCACAUAACUGGCCAAUACUUCUUGGUGGGCAAGCUCACUGGACAGUUGGACUUGUAGCAACCUUGAUAUCUAUUACUAGCAUUAUUGCUGCUGAUACAUCAGCUUUCCUAUGUGGAAGGGCAUUUGGACGUACUCCUUUGACUAACAUAAGCCCUAAGAAGACCCUGGAGGGUGCUUUAGCCGGUCUGACUGGCUGUGUGCUUACCACUGUGCUUUUGUCGACUCUCUUUCGCUGGCCAAGAUCGCUGUUGAGUGCUACUGCUUAUGGGAUCCUGAUCUUUCUGGGUUCAUUAUUCGGGGAUCUCAUUGAAUCUCUUAUUAAGCGUGAUGCUGGUGUGAAGGACUCUGGGUCGCUCAUUCCUGGCCAUGGUGGUAUUCUUGACCGGGUCGACAGCUAUGUCUUCACAGGGGCGCUUUGUUACUCCUUCGUCCGAGUAGCUCUACCCCUGUAUGGAGUCUGA
rnacentral:rRNA from 1 species